rnacentral:rRNA from 1 species
UAACGAAUCUUCCGCAAUGCACGAAAGUGUGACGGAGCGACGCCGCGUGUAGGACGAAGCCCUUCGGGGUGUAAACUACUGUCAGGGGUUACCAAGUUCUGAGGAGCCCCAGAGGAAGGGACGGCUAACUCUGUGCCAGCAGCCGCGGUAAGACAGAGGUCCCGAGCGUUAGGCGGAAUCACUGGGCUUAAAGCGUGUGUAGGCGGAUCGUUAAGUGCCUUGUGAAAUCCCACGGCUCAACCAUGGAACUGCUGGGCAUACUGCCGAUCUUGAGCCACUUAGGGGCAACCGGAACAAACGGUGGAGCGGUGAAAUGCGUAGAUAUCGUUUGGAACGCCAAUGGUGAAAACAGGUUGCUGGGAGUGGGCUGACGCUGAGACACGAAAGCCAGGGGAGCGAACGGGAUUAGAUACCCCUGUAGUCC